rnacentral:rRNA from 1 species
CUGACGGUAGUCGUAUGCUCGUCUCCGAGACUAAGCCAUGCAAGUCCAAGUACACGUCCUUGAACGACGGAAACUGCGAACGGCUCAUUAAAUCAGUUGCGAUCUACUCGGCGUUCCGCGCCGCCGGAUAACCGUAGUAAUUCUAGGGCUAAUACGUGCGAAGCGCCCGAAGCCGCGAGGCGACGGGCGUUCUCGCCGGAUGUAGGAACCGACCCGGGGACCGCCGGGGCAACCCGGCGCCCCCGAGACGGGGCGAACCACGGUGAAAUGACGGAUCGUCGGCCCCGCGCCGGCGACUCGCCGAAUGAGUUUCUGACCUAUCAACUCGAGACGGCGGGGUAGAGGCCCGCCGCGGUAACGACGGGUAACGGGGAAGUCAGGGUUCGAUUCCGGAGAGGGAGCCCGAGAAACGGCUACCACUUCCAAGGAAGGCAGCAGGCG